rnacentral:misc_RNA from 1 species
GGAAGUAAAGUCGUAACAAGGUUUCCGUAGGUGAACCUGCGGAAGGAUCAUUAUUGUAUAACCGAGGUGCGAGGGCUGUCGCUGACCCGAAAGGUCGUGCACACCCGAGUGCCCUCACACACAUCCAUCUCACCCCUAUGUGCACCACCGCGUGGGUCCCCCUUUGGCUUGUUCGGAGGGGGGCUUACGUUUUCACACAAACUUUGUAUGCAGUGUAGAAUGUAUUUUUUGUUUUCGCGAUCACGCAAUCAAUACAACUUUCAACAACGGAUCUCUUGGCUCUC